GAGUGAAACUCAAAGGAAUUGACGGGGACCCGCACAAGUAGCGGAGCAUGUGGUUUAAUUCGAAGCAACGCGAAGAACCUUACCUAAGCUUGACAUCCCAAUGACAUCUCCUUAAUCGGAGAGUUCCCUUCGGGGACAUUGGUGACAGGUGGUGCAUGGUUGUCGUCAGCUCGUGUCGUGAGAUGUUGGGUUAAGUCCCGCAACGAGCGCAACCCUUGUCUUUAGUUGCCAUCAUUAAGUUGGGCAC
rnacentral:rRNA from 1 species